UACGUAGGGUGCAAGCGUUGUCCGGAAUUAUUGGGCGUAAAGAGCGUGUAGGCGGCCCGGUUAGUCCGCUGUGAAAGUUCAGGGCUCAACCCUGGAAUGCCGGUGGAUACUGUCGGGCUAGAGUCCGGAAGGGGCGAGUGGAAUUCCUGGUGUAGCGGUGAAAUGCGCAGAUAUCAGGAGGAACACCAAUGGCGAAGGCAGCUCGCUGGGACGUGACUGACGCUGAGACGCGAAAGCGUGGGGAGCAAACAGG
rnacentral:rRNA from 1 species